rnacentral:rRNA from 1 species
GAUGAACGCUGGCGGCGUGCCUAAUGCAUGCAAGUCGAGCGAACGGACGAGAAGCUUGCUUCUCUGAUGUUAGCGGCGGACGGGUGAGUAACACGUGGAUAACCUACCUAUAAGACUGGGAUAACUUCGGGAAACCGGAGCUAAUACCGGAUAAUAUUUUGAACCGCAUGGUUCAAAAGUGAAAGACGGUCUUGCUGUCACUUAUAGAUGGAUCCGCGCUGCAUUAGCUAGUUGGUAAGGUAACGGCUUACCAAGGCAACGAUGCAUAGCCGACCUGAGAGGGUGAUCGGCCACACUGGAACUGAGACACGGUCCAGACUCCUACGGGAGGCAGCAGUAGGGAAUCUUCCGCAAUGGGCGAAAGCCUGACGGAGCAACGCCGCGUGAGUGAUGAAGGUCUUCGGAUCGUAAAACUCUGUUAUUAGGGAAGAACAUAUGCGUAAGUAACUGUGCACAUCUUGACGGUACCUAAUCAGAAAGCCACGGCUAACUACGUG